GGUCGGCACGUCUGGUAGCAUCUUUGGCUGCUGUUGAUCUUGUUUUUGGAGUAAAACACGGUAAGAAGACAAAUACUUCUAACCAGUAGCGUUGUCUUGUUGUACGUUAAGUCAGCGACUUGUGUAGAGUUGUGUUUUGUCCUGUUUGAGCAGUUGGUCCGGACGCGUUAGCUAGCUAAGCGGCUAAGUUAGCUAGUGGGCUAAUUAACACAGGUGGCUAGCUUACCGCUGAACACCUGUGUUAGUUGCUGCUGCAGCUGUCCUCGUUAUUAGAAGGAACUUCUCAACCUGUAUUUCUCUGCUGUGUAUUUUAGCUUUUAAAAAAGUUAUUUUACUUUAAGGUUAACUGAAACCCGUUCAGCUGCACUGAAGUUUAACAUUCAGCUGGUUUGAAUUAAACCGUGCUUAACAUUGACCAACAUUACCUCUCUGAAUCUCCAUAAUUUCAUUAAAUUCCUUCUCUCUCCCACUGCUCAAGUUCAAUACAGUAUAUAAAGUGACAUUAAUAGUGAAUAAACUAACAACCAGCCAUUGUAUUUAUUUAUUACUGCAUGUAUUUGUUGUAAAACAUGAGUUGAAACAUCCUACUUUUGGAUCUAGAACUGCACAAGCCGUUCAUUUUCAGUCACCUGACGAGUUAAACUCCCCUUUUUAUGUGAGGUUGAAGCAGAAAGUCUGAGUUAACAAAGAAAGUUGUUUAUAAUUUGCGAUACCUGUUAUCUCUGACUGAGGCUUUAGUUUUUGUUGAGCUGAUUUACACGUAGAAACUUUGUUCAGGAAGAUUUCUCAGUAGCUCAGAGGACAGGCUGCUUUUUACACAACCUUGUAAGAGAAUGUCUGUCAAUGCUUUCAGCAGAAUUUAGGAACACAACACUUCCUAAACAGAUAUUUUGAGGCUGUGAGGUUGAACGUUUGAGAGUAUAUCAGUGUGUUUGUUUGUGGUCUUUGUGUUUCUAGGUGGAAGUUGAAUUAGUGAGGAUGACUCCUGCUCCUGUCAUCUCUAAGCUCCUCACACAUCUUUACCUGCACAUGAGGAAAAUCACUGCUGUAGAAUGCAGUGGUUCAUCAGAACCUCUGGGGAUGUCCUGUGGAUUCUGUGGAUCCUGUGGGUUGCAGGGUGGGUCCUACCUAGACCAGGCUGAUCCUGGACCAUCCCACAGAUGCUCCAUCAGAUGUGGAUGUGGGGAGUGUGGAACCCAGAUGUUCAGAAGGAGAUGAUGCCACAUCUGGUCCAGCUGAUGGAAGGUCUUGAAGUUCUCUGACUGGCCUCAACUGAAGAUGGUCCUCUCUCUGGAUUUAAGGUUCAAAUGUUCAGUAACAAACUCCACCAAUGAGCCAACAGGGAAGCUUUAGGUUUAUUAAAUGUUGCUAUGAAGGUAUCGCUGUUUUUCUUUGUGAAUGCAAUGUGCUCCAACUGAAACUUGAAUUAGAACUUAGAAGUAAAUCCUUCCAUCUGAAAGGAUUUAGUUGCAUUAAUAACCUCAUAACAUUCUAAUUUUUAUUCCAGUCUUGGUUGGAAAUAGAAUCUCUGUAUUGAUUCAGGUAAAAACUGAACUUCACAGCAUGUUGGAGCAAAACAACCAGAUGAAAACUGUGAUGGUGUUGGAUUGUCAGACUGUAAUGUUGCAGCUCAAAGCAGCUUUUCUAGCUCAGUUCAUUCUGACAUUCAGCUAUGAAUCAACACAGCAGAUGGUGAUCCAUGCUGUGGAAGUCUCACAUCUCCUGAUUUAAUGGAACUGCUUUGCACUUUUUACACUGUUUAUUCACCAACACUUUAUUUUAUAAAAGUCCCAUCUAGCUUUUAUGAGGAAUGUGUUGUUUUAAUUUCUCUGUGAAUAACUGCAGUCUAAUGUAACAGCUGGAGUUGUAACAUCUGUCCUGAUAUUGAUCAUGAAGUAUUGAUCAGAAUACUUAUGGUUAGCAGUCAUCCCUGAAGUUUACAUGAAAAUCUUUACUUGUGUUGUGAACUUUGGUAAGAAGCAGAAACGUUAGCGUUGCCAUGGAUACAUGAGUGUUAAAUUCUGUCCAUGUUUCCAUUUUGGGAAAUGCAGUCCAGUUCCAGAAUGUGGAGGAAUUUAGUCUCACAAUCACAGACAACAAAUAUUAUCUGAAAGUCGGGUUAUUGUUGUUUAUCAGCACAAUACAAAAAGAUUAAUGUUAGAAAUAUUCCAGUUAAUACUCUAGAAUAGCAGGAUUUAUGUAAAUUUACCUCAAUAAUAUGAAUGUUCAGGUUAAGAUUGUACAGUGAUAUUUAUUAUGUAAGUUUAACUGAUUAAAGUUUGACUCUGCACUACAAUAUUAUUUAAAUUGACAUCAUUAUUAUAAUAUUUAGGGUCAGACCCUACAGUAUUGAGAUUAAGAAAUCAAAUAUUCUUUAAAAUGUAAAUACACUGAACUCAUUUGGAUAUAUUUAAGUGAGACUCUACAAUAUUAUUUGACACAAAUCUAUCUAAAUCAAAGUUUUAAUCAUUUUUACUCCAAACAUUGGCUGAACUGAUUUAAAUAUUAAAAUCACUCCUUUCUUAUCCUCUGCUGUACGUUCAAACCUGAGGCCUUAAAUAGAAACACACAAGUAUCUGAUUGAAGGAACUUCUGCAGAGUCCUGGUUCCAGAACAUGAUGAUAGAAUUAUAGACAAACUUUAACAAAAGCUGCCUGAGAGUUUACAGGUUUUUAUGUUAGAUUUCUUCAGUAAUUUAAUGAGAAUUAUCAGCAAAAAUCAAGUGUUCAUUUGAUGAACUUCAUUUCCUAAAACAUCCAGAAUUGGAGCUCAUACCUUUUAGAGCUGUAAAGUUUCUGCUCCUUCAAAGUUCACAACACAAUGAAUGAAUUCCUAAAACACUCUCAAUGUUGGAGAGCGUUUGUGAUGCUGAAGCAGUGACCAGUUUUUCUGUUUCUUCUCUGGAGAUGCACAAUGAGGGACGUCUGCAGCGACUGAGAAAGAGUCUCACCACAUCCUGACAUGAGGAAAAAGACUUUAUUGAAGACUGCAAUGAGAAAAACUAUCAGACAGCAGACGGCUGCAUUCAAGGUGAGCUCUGAACAUUUGAUCUGGAACAGGAAUUCAAUCACGGCAGCAUGAGCUUCAUUUCAGUCUGUAGCUGCUGAAUUCAUGGAUAAAUCAUCUGGCACUAGAGAGGAAGACCAUCAAACAUCCACGUUAGCUGAUGGAGGUCCAAGAGUCUCACCCAACAAAACCUACAGAGUGAAGACCUCAAAUCUGAUUGGACGGCCUCCUAUUCAGCCACAUGUGUGAACAAAUGCCUCUAAGCUGAUUUGUUUUCUAAAAUAAAUCUAGUUUGAGUCCUAAUCUAUGCCUGUGUGUUUGCUUCUUUACACCGCUGUUAACAGUUUAGGCUGUUAGAUUGUUCCAGAUAAGACAAGUACAAGAUUCUUCAGAGCCGUUCUACCACGAGCCUGACAGGAAGAACUCCAACAGCUACUGAAUGUUCCUGUGGUUCCCUCAAGGCUACAGGAGGAGCCCUACGAGGACGAGCCGGUCCACCUGAUGGAGGCCAGUCGCUGCGGUUCAAAGCCAACACCGACUACGUGGACUUCUACCACGCGGAGGCCUUCAAACCGGACCAACAAGUUCAGCGAGUCCCCGACUCGUGGGUCUGAGGACGCCGCCGAGCCUCGGUCCAGCCGGCCACCUGUCUGUGGGUGUUUGAGUGCUGAGAGGUUUGUGGAUGCAUGUGAACGUUCUGUGUUGAAACAGCAGCUUUGGACUCAGUAACGCUGGGAAAAACCAAGAGCUCCUUUAUUUGUGACUUCCACUAAAAAAACUGAUGAAAAUAAGUUUGCCAGGGUUCUGACUGAUAACAGAUUAUUAAAUAAUGAAAAUAACAUUUUAAAUGUUCCUUUAAACAAUCCUUUUAGGUCUACAUUUCCUUUACACUGACUUCUUGGUAUAUGUACAAGUAUUUUGGGUGGAAUAUACCAUUAAGCCCAAUGUUCUAGGGUUCUUCGGGGAAUAUACCAUUAAACCAAUCUUUUAGGUAAAUGUUCCAGGAUGUUGGGUAGAAUAUACCAUUAGAUAAACCUUUUAUGUCUACAUUGGAAGAUUUUAGAGUAGAAUAUUAUUCCAAGCCAUCCUUUAGGUCUGCAUUUAAGGUGGAAUACUCUUUUACACCAAGAUUGUUUGGUCUACAUUAAAGGAUUUUAGGUAGAAUAUUCCUUUGAAUGAACUUUUUAAGUUUAUGUUCAAGGAUGUUGGGUGGAAUAUACCAUCAGACCAACCUCCAAGGUCUACAGUAGUGAAUUUUAGGUGGAAUAUACCAUUAACUCACCUUUUAGGUCUACAUUGGAGGAUUUUAGGUGGAAUUUUCUUCCAGACCGUCAUUUAGUCUACAUGUAAGGAUGUUUAGGAUGGUAUAUUCUUCCAAACCAAAUUCUCAGGUCUACAUUUCAGGUGGACUAUUCCUCCAUACUAACUUUUUUGGUCUACAUUGCAGGAUUUUUUCUAAAUCACCCUUUCCGGUCUAUACUUGGGGUUUUAGGUGGAAUAUUCCUUUUAACCAGCCCCUCAGGUCUCUUUGAGGAUUUUGGAUGGAAUACUCGGUUAAACCAACAUUUUAGGUGCAUGUCCAAGGAUUUUUGGUGGAAUGUUCCUUUAAGGUGGAUGUUUGAGGACCUUGUAGGUGGAAUGCUUCCAGAAACCAACCUUUUAGGUCAACAUUCAAAGAUUUAAGGUGGAAUAUUCCUUUAAACCAACCUAAAUUUCAUGUUUUGAUCAUUAUCAAGUGAGAAACCUCAAUCCAGAACUAAAAGUGAACUUCAUGUUGACAUUGAUGGGCAUUCCAACCAGGAACAAAGUAAAAGAUAAUCAAUAUGAAAAAAACACCUCUUCCUGUUCACCUCUUCAAGCCCCAAGAGAUAAGAAAUAUAAAGAAGUAAUUUUUUCAUUGCCUUUUUCUUGGUGAGGAUGUUUAAGGGUUAUCGUAACAUCUGUAAACAAAACAAAAACGUAUCAACAAAGUUUCCUGUUAGUUUGUGUUGUUCUAAGUUUAACUCCAAGAUUUUAAAUACUUCCAUUUACUGCAAAUGAAUAUCUACUCCAAAUGUCUCACUAAUAAUCAUUAUCAGCCUUAAAAACCCACAAAACACCCCUCGAUACUCAGCCACACUUAGUACAGUCCGGUUCCCCCUUCUAUAAAUCUGCUUGGAAUCUUCCACUUCCUGUUUGUCAAAGUGGCCUUCUACCUGGACAGGUUUUGUUGGAGCUCAUGCAACAAACAUUUUGGGUAACUGCACUUUAAUAUGGAUGGAUGACACUGAAUUAGAGUCUGUUUUAAUGAGACUGAGUUAAGAUGUGUAGCUCUGUCAUUAAAUAGUAAAUUAUUUCUCAGAAUUCACAGAGAAAAGUCUGAAAUGUUUGCUAGGUUAGCGUCCCACAUGUUCUUUGGCUCAGCUAAAGCUAACUCUCUCCAACUUCUGGAUCUCUUGAGUUACUUGUUGUGAAAAUAUCUUGCUACAGGUGCUGAAGCUCCGAAAGUCUGAGAUGUUUGUUCAAAAUAAGCUCAUUCUCAAGUCUUAUCUGAACUGUCCUCUUUUGUUUUAACUUUCCUUAAACUUAGGAGUUAAUGACAGAGCAGCACAUCCAGACUCAGUCUCAUUUAUGUAGAGAUUAAACUUCAGUGUCAUUCAUUGAUGUUAAAGUACAGUUUUUCAAAUGUUUGUUGCACAUGCUCCCGACCAAACCAGUCCAGGUGGAAGACGAUGUGAAGAGAAAGCUCCAGAGGAUGAAUAUCACACAUUUACGUUGGAAAUAAAUGUCCUUUAAUUAGACAUUGUCAUGCAAAAGUUGGAUUUCCCUUUAAUGAUGUUCAAAUCUUUGUUGAGUGUUUUGUUGAUGUUGGUUUCUAAAUGUUUUUUGACACUCGGCCCCAAAGAUUAAAACCUUUUACGUCUCACAAGCUGCAACAAUUCACACAUUAUCAACUAUCUUUCUGACUAAGAUGAAAGGUGAAAAACUGUCUGAUUCCUGCAUCAUGAAUGUAAAUCUUUUUGGUUUUUAUGGCAGUAUACUGAAUAUGUUUGGGUUUGACAUUUUAUAAACCAAAACAAGAAAUGAAUUACUGGAGAAAACAAUCAACAGAUUAAUGGACAAAGAAAAUUUUAAUUCAAUUUUAUUUAUAUAACGCCAAUUACAGGUCAAAUUGUCUCAAGACGCUUUAUUUUUAUAUUUUUUUGUUAUUUAAAAUAUGACAAAGUAAGAAAUUUAAAGCUCUUGACUAAUCCAAUUUAUUAUUUGGCUUUUAAGAGAC